AUAUGGCCACUCAAUCGCCUGCAAUUUUACGGAUGCAUAUGAGAUGAAAGGUUCAAACAUUAGCUAUUCCAUCCCAUCCACUUGUGCAACCCCCCCCCCCCUCCCUCUUCUUAUACAUUGUAGGAUAUGUGCAUGAGCUCUUGCCUUUUUUAUUUUUCUUUUUUAGUUUUUAUUUGUAUUAUUUUUUUUUAUAAGUGACAUGUGCAUGGCUCUUGGUAUUGUGCAGAGAAAUGGAGAUAUUCCUCUGUUUCCCCUAUUCCCUAUUUUUGAGUGCAGGGAGGGAAGAUCUGCCCCAAUAUGGAGUACCUUGGCUUCUCAGACUUGGUAAGAUGUUUGGACAUAAUCGAUGCCUGCAAAUUAAGUGUCAAAUUUUGUUCCAAAGUUCAGCAAGAUUUGUCAUAUAAAACGGACAAGAGCAUACAAAAGUUCAGUUGCGAAGAUGCUCAAAUUUAAAGAAAUAAAUUUUAUUGUCAUAGCAAUAGUCUAUCAAUUUUCAGGAAUUUAACAAAAUCCUUUGAAGCAUUUGUUUCCAAAUUUUAUUUUUAUUUUUGCAUUGUUUUACAACUUAAUCCAGGGUAUCAGACUUCAAAGUUAACUGUUCAGUAUUCUAUCACAGAAAACAAUUUUGACCAAUUGUACACUAAAAGUAUAUCAUGUGGUUGCAUGCUAAAUUUGGAUGACCUAAUGAUAGUAGGCCAUGCCACAGAUGAAUUCUCCUUUUUCCAAUUUUACUUCCUAUUGUUUCUCUUUUAUUAUCACCUCAGGCUUCCACUAAGCCUAAAGAAUAACUACAUUGAAGAUUUCAAAGAUAAAUGAAAUUCAAAAAUGGUGGUCAACAGAAUCAAAGUUGUGACGACAGAAAAUU
rnacentral:lncRNA from 1 species